rnacentral:lncRNA from 1 species
CCUGCCGCUGCCCUGAGGGCGUCUGCAGACUGCGAAGGAGAAAGUAGCCGGCGCGGUGGUGCACACCUGUGAACCCCAGCACUCUGGGAGACUACAACUUAGUGAUUUAGCGAAACCCCGUCUCAGAAAGUGAAGAGGGAGGGGGCUGGCGUGAGAGUCCUUGAGGUCUAUCCCCCUAGCAGGGAUGGGGGUUUAGGGGUGGGGUAGGAAGAGUGCUCUGUUCCCACCACUGCACCGCUGGCUGUCGCACAGUCCUGUUUCUCAGCCCACAUGAAGGCAUUUGAGGCCUCCUUCCCAUCCUCCAACCUUUUAAUGUUUUAUCUACCGUACUACCUUCUCUGCUUAAGAAACCGAGUAUUUGUCCUGCAGUAGGGCCACGUUCUUCCAAAAGCUUCCUGCGGUGGUCCAUCUGAACCUCUUGCUUUGUUCUGAGACAAGGUUUCGCUGUGUAGUUCAGGCUGGCCUUGAACUCACAUUGAUCCUCCUGCCUCAGCCUCCCAAGUGUUGGGCUCACAGGUAUGCGCCACCAGGCCCAGCUUGCUCUUCUUUUUAAGACCCAGCUCACAAAUACCACUUGUUUCCUUUUGUUCCUGAAGUGCCAAUUGCGCCUCAGUUUAAGGUGCUUUGCCUGGAAAGCCUUGCUCCUCGCCGCAUUAGUUUGCGUUGUAGAAAGGCAUUUGUUUGGUAAGUCUCUGGUUCUUCCAGUCCCUCAGUGUAGAAGUCUCAAGUACUCUUGAUUUCAGUGGAGAAUUUUUCCAAGGUUACCUUACCUGGUUGGUACUGCUAUUUUCUUUCAGGGGCCAGAGAACAGGAGCAGAAUGGUUUACAGAGCCCAGUACGUUAGUAGCUUUCCUCUGCUCCUUGGAUAGAGGUCUGACAGUGUUAACAGUCUGCAGGCCUGGCCUUGCCUAUCUUUCCCUACCCAGUUCUUGUCAGUGGUCCCUCAGUUCCCUGCGGGCUGGCCACCCUGACCUUGUUUGGUUUCUUGGUUCCUUCAACUUUGCGUUUUUCUCUCCCAACUUCAGAGCCUUUGUGAGGCUGUUUGCCCUGCCUAGGAAUUCUCCACCCUCUGCCCAUUCUUCAGGGACCCUUCCUUGCUGUCCCUGUCCAUCCUGUGCUGUCAUAAUGCUAUGUACUCCUUGGCUCUUCCUUCUCAGCACAGUUGCCCAGUCAAGGGAAGAAAGGCAAAGGGCCAGGCAAGCCCCGCGGGAGGAAGCAGAAGAAGCCGGAAGUGGACAUCCUGAGCCCUGCCGCCAUGCUGAACCUGCACUACAUCGCACACAACGCAGCCGACUGCCUGCAGCUGCGUGGCUUCCACUGGCCCGGUGCGCCCAAGGGGAAAAGGGGCAAGAACAAGACCUAAGGGAAGAGAGACUGGAAUAAGUGGAUGAAGAUUGCAAGCAAAAUAGACUUUACUGAAGACAUUUGGAAAUGCGUGCUCAGGUGCUUUUAGUGGGAAAUUAGGAUUUAAUGCGUUUUACUUCCUCAGUGAAGCCAGGUGUAGCUAAGGGGAGGUUUUUCAAGUUAAGGGAAAAGUCUGAGUAAUUCUUACACACUGUAGUGGAAUUCAUACUACUUUUAAUAAUUCUGUACCAGAAUUAAACCUUGCUCUCACAAGGCAGUCCCAGUUUGCAUGAGUUGUUUACUUUUGCAGAAGGAGGUUUGUUAUUUAGAGAAGACACAGCACGUGCUCCGGCUUUACUUGUGAACAUUCCUCUCUUGGGCACUGUUUUUUGUUUUUGUUUUUCUCCUGGUGCAGGGGAUGCCAGGACUUGGACAAAGCACUCAGCAAGCUGCCCGACAGAGGCACUCCCUUAAUGUCAUCUGAUGUUGGCUGGCGUGGUGGCCCUGGCCUAUAAUCCCAGCACCUGGGAAGCCGGGAAAGAGAAUUGAUGUGAGUUCAAGGCUAGCUUGGGUUACAUAGUGCAAGGCCAGCCUGCUCUAAGACCCCACCUCGAAAACCAAAAUAAAUAAGUGUAUGUGCACUGUCCAGAUAGGCAAGAGCUACUUGUGAUUGAGCACAUGGAAUGUGGCUGAGACCAUGAGAGAACUGAUCUGAUUUGAUUACCUUGUAAUUAAAUUGGAUGUUUUGGGGCCAGGCCUUGAGGCAUCCAAGAUCCAUGUCAGUGCCAGGGACCUCACAGCAGGGUUGUGGUUCUUCCUGCCUGUAUGCUGGUGGUGAGACCAGGGAUUCUGCCUGCUGGAACACUCGGCCCUCUCUAUCCACUCUAUCACCCCCACCACCUUGCAAGGAUGCUUGCUAUACAUUUCUGUUUUCCCACAACUUCAGCUCAGCUUUAUGGCCCUUCUUUUGCUUGGUUUGAACUUCAGUUUCCUCUCCCACAUCCCUCAUUAUUGGGGUGUGACCGGAGGGAGGACCCAAUGCACACCCCAUGCCUUUGUGGGGCCCAGCUCUGUUGCAGUAGCGAGGGAUGAGCCCUCGCCAUCAGCCCCUUCCCCUUGCCCCUCAGCUGAGCCUGACGGGUGGGAUGGUUGGGUUGGGUAUUACUGGACAGGGACACCCAGAGUGUUGGGACUGUGGUCCUGAACACUCACUUCCACUCCCUCUACAUCUCCCCUCAUGGUCAAGAUCCUGAAAAAAAUUUACUUCUGCUUCAGGUUUUAUUCACUUCCUAAUCUUUCUGUCAAACAUUUUUUCUUCCCCUCCCUCCCUCUCUUCCUUCUUUCCUUUCUCCCCCUCUUUCUCUUUUGCUCUCUCUCUCUCUCUCUCUCUCUCUCUCUCUCUCUCUCUCCUUAUACCCACUUAGUAUUUUUUGUUCGUUUGUUUGGUUUGAUUUUUUGAGACAGUCUCACUGUGUAGUCCAGGCUGGCCUCCAUGUUGCUCUCCUGACUCAGUCU